ensembl:misc_RNA Metazoa_SRP Metazoan signal recognition particle RNA
GCCGGGUGUGGUGGCUCACACCUGUAAUCCUAGCACUUUGGGAGGCUGAGGCGGGUGGAUCACCUGAAGUCAGGAGUUUGAGACCAGCCUGGCCAACAUGGUGAAACCCCGUCUCUA